GACCCCAUGAAGUCGGAGUCGCUAGUAAUCGCAGAUCAGCAUUGCUGCGGUGAAUACGUUCCCGGGCCUUGUACACACCGCCCGUCACGUCACGAAAGUCGGUAACACCCGAAGCCGGUGGCCCAACCCCUUGUGGGAGGGAGCUGUCGAAGGUGGGACUGGCGAUUGGGACGAAGUCGUAACAAGGUAGCCGUACCGGAAGGUGCGGUUGGAUCACCU
rnacentral:rRNA from 1 species